CCUCACUGCUCAUGAGACAUGACCACGAUCGACAUUUCCGCCGCUUAUUAUUAUCAAUAUCAUAUCAGGAAAAGUUUCAGCUUGGAACCAAGCUUUUCUUCACCGUGUACUGCAGGUUUGGCACUGUAGCUCCUUCUGCCAGGCAAUACCAGAUGUGUGAGACCCUUUUCGCCGGUGGGCCCCUUUUCCUCUUACGGCCUCUCCCUUGAUUGCUGUUAGCGUUGGGCCCGUUGACAUUUAUCUGCUGCAGAGCAGUCAGCCCUCCAAUCGCCGUUGUCAACCUCCGAUUCAGCAGCUGCCUCUGGAUUUGGAAGUCAUUGUCCUGGGAGAAUAAAACAGAAGUAAUGUGACAAUCUCUAAACAAGUCAACGCAAAGCGUAGCAUCCCCUCACCGGGUACAAAUGGCCUAUGUACGUCAGAACAAGUUACCUCCAUUAGACUAUACUAUUAGAUAACUAGGCAAGGAAGUUAACCAAAUUUUCGCAUACAUUAGGUAAUUUGGCAAAAAUAAUGAGCUAUAACAUUUGACUUACAUACUCCGAAGUAGAACUUAGGCUUUUAAAAAUUUUAUUAUGUAGUAUGUACCUUCAUAUCAAAUUCCUCAAAAUCCGUCAAACAUUACUAAAGUUAUCAAAAGGAAAUAAUUAGUGGAUAGUGAGGAUACGUCACAGAUACAUGAGUGAGUUGCCAAUUUGUGUAGUGAUUUUCAAAGUUUUUCAUGUCAUUAAAAAUUCAUAACUUUCUUAUUAGUUAUCCGAUUUUGCUCAAACUUUUUUUGAUUGGUUUGUCAGAUUUUUCUGGUUGUAUUGAAAGUAAGUUAUUUUUGGAGUGAACUUGGGCUUUAAGAGUUAAAGGGAUAGUUUUUUUUGUGCAAGACUGAACUUUAGCAACCAAAUCCUGAACAAUAACAUUACACACUAUAUACAUGUAAUAGAUAGUACUCCACCAUGCUCGAAAGCCUGGUAUAACAAAUUACAAACAACUACGAAAAAGCCUGUUAUCAAAUCAAAACGAGCCGUUAAAACACAAGAGGGGGCUAAAAAUGCAUUGCUAUAGUUUCAACCAUUUCUUCACACAAAAUUGUGCAUGUAUUGUUUUGUUAAAUUAUUAUUAAAUAGAGAGAUCAUCAACAACUGUUUUCUGCUUCUUUAGUCAACUCAAGGGUAAAUUAUCAAAAUAUGCAAAAACAAAUGGCAAAUCGCAUGGGUUGUUACAAACUCAAGGUGAGAGCUGGUGCACUGUAAAAAAAAUCUUUGAAUCAGUAGUUAACACUUAAUGUAUUUAAGUAGAAUUUACAAUUUGUAAUUAUUUUUCGUUGUUUUUAAGUAGUUUCAACUUGUCUUUUAAUUUACUUGAUUUACUUGAUUUAUUUGGGUUCAAUAUACAUUUAAGAAAAUUCACGUAUUGAUAGCUUGCUUUGAUUGAGUAAAUCUAACUCAAUUAGGCAAAGAUGAUUGUUACUUAUAAAAUCAUGUUGAAUGUACUUAUAUUUUUCAAUUAACGCCAUAUUUAAAUAAUGCAUGAAUAUUCAUUAGAGCAAGUAAAUGUUUUUUUUUUUUAAAUAACUGUCAUAUCUAUUUGUGUUUGAAAUUGUUUUGGAUAAGGGUGUGCUAACUAUUGUAUUCUUUUGUUGAAUCAAUGAAAAGGCAAUAUUAAAUAGUCAUUUAGCAGAAAA